CUCCCUGGCAGUGGGCAAAGAGACACCUGAUGGGUGGUGUUGCUCCUAUGUAAGUCAGGGGCGGAGGAGGUUUAGAGCCCACUGUCCAUCCCAGUUUGAUGCCUGGGUUGGUGACCAGAGCUGUUUCAUGCCAGAGGCACAUUA